rnacentral:rRNA from 1 species
AAUAGAUACCCGGGUAGUCCACGCCGUAAACGAUGAGUGCUAAGUGUUAGAGGGUUUCCGCCCCUUUAGUGCUGCAGCUAACGCAUUAAGCACUCCGCCUGGGGGAGUACGGUCGCAAGACUGAAACUCAAAGGAAUUGACGGGGGGCCCGCACAAGCGGUGGAGCAUGUGGUUUAAUUCGAAGCAACGCGAAGAACCUUAACCAGGUCUUGACAUCCUCUGACAACUCUAGAGGUAGAGCGUUCCCCUUCGGGGGACAGAGUGACAGGUGGUGCAUGGUUGUCGUCAGCUCGUGUCGUGAGAUGUUGGGUUAAGUCCCGCAACGAGCGCAACCCUUGAUCUUAGUUGCCAGCAUUUAGUUGGGCACUCUAAGGUGACUGCCGGUGACAAACCGGAGGAAGGUGGGGAUGACGUCAAAUCAUCAUGCCCCUUAUGACCUGGGCUACACACGUGCUACAAUGGAUGGUACAAGGGCUGCAAGCCGCGAGGUCAAGCCAAUCCCAUAAAACCCAUUCUCAGUUCGGAUUGUAGG